rnacentral:misc_RNA from 1 species
GAAAUGCGAUAAGUAGUGUGAAUUGCAGAAUUCAGUGAAUCAUCGAAUCUUUGAACGCACAUUGCGCCCCUUGGUAUUCCAUGGGGCAUGCCUGUUCGAGCGUCAUUACACCAAUCAAGCCUGGCUUGGUAUUGGGCGACGGGGUCGGUCGAACCACCCCCCGCCCCAAAGACCUUUCCGGCGGGACGGACCGAAUCUCAGCGUUGUGCAAACGUGUCGCUGGCGAGACGGGACGGCCGUGCCGUUAAACCCCAUUUUCUUCAAGGUUGACCUCGGAUCAGGUAGGGAUACCCGCUGAACUUAAGC